AACGUUGUGAGUUUACGUGCGCUGAACGUGAUUUUGUCGACUCCAGAGGACGUUGUCACAACGUAGUAAGACAAGGUAAGAAAAAAGUUUUCACAAUGUUCAUGAAACGUUAAUUUAUUCAAGCAAUGCGCUCAUAAAAUUGCAACUUUUAUAUAAUGACAUAUAUUUAUUGGCUAUUUCAGCAAAACGCUCAUACAUGGUAUAAAUACAUAAAUCAUAAUAUAAUAUUUAAGUAAAUAUGCCAUAUGGAUAAAAGAGAAAAUAGUACAAAAUAUUUAUGAUGGUAGAAUACAACAAUAUUUGAACAAAAGUAAUAGAGAUAUUAUACAGUGUGUAUAAAAAAAGUAUAG